AAGACUAUACUUUCAGGGAUCAUUUCUAUAGUUCAUUACUAGAGAAGGUUCUCUGAGUCGUAGAAUACCAAAAACCAGAGGAGGAGGCACAGCAUUCUACCCUGAAUUUGAGGCUGGCUGUAGCUAUUGCUUUCUUGCAACUGCCUACUGCCACUGAUGAUCAUUCUUCUCUCCCAUUUUAGGGGGGUGAGAGGGAGAGAAUGCAGUCUGAGUGGU
rnacentral:snoRNA from 1 species